rnacentral:RNase_P_RNA from 1 species
GUGUACGGGGGAACGCUGCAGUUUUACUGCAGAGGAAAGUCCGGGCAGGCACGGUCUGAGAUGAUCGUAGUGUUUGUGCGCAGCCCAAUAAGCUGCGGCAGGAACUAAGUUUCCUGACGGCGGUCAAAUUGGCUCUCGUAGUCAAAAGUAGCCUGAAAGUGCCACAGAAACUAUCCGUUCCGGCGACGGAGCGAUGCAAGGGUAAACCCCACAAGCCUGAAACUCAAAUUUUGGUAGAGGAAUCCUAGAACGGGAAUUCAACCAGACUAGGACGCAUGUAUUAUGCGAGAUAGAUGUUCCCUAGAACAAAACCCGGCUUACGGUA